GAGGGUAUUGCUCAGUGUUAGAGUACAUGCUUAGCAUGCAUGAGGUCCUGGGUUCAGUCCUAAUACCUCCA
rnacentral:tRNA from 1 species